AUGAACGCUGGCUGCGUGCCUAAUACAUGCAAGUCGAGCGAACAGAUGAGGAGCUUGCUCCUCUGACGUUAGCGGCGGACGGGUGAGUAACACGUGGAUAACCUACCUAUAAGACUGGGAUAACUUCGGGAAACCGGAGCUAAUACCGGAUAAUAUAUUGAACCGCAUGGUUCAAUAGUGAAAGACGGUUUUGCUGUCACUUAUAGAUGGAUCCGCGCCGCAUUAGCUAGUUGGUAAGGUAACGGCUUACCAAGGCAACAAUGCGUAGCCGACCUGAGAGGGUGAUCGGCCACGCUGGAACUGAGACACGGUCCAGACUCCUACGGGAGGCAGCAGUAGGGAAUCUUCCGCAAUGGGCGAAAGCCUGACGGAGCAACGCCGCGUGAGUGAUGAAGGUCUUCGGAUCGUAAAACUCUGUUAUUAGGGAAGAACAAAUGUGUAAGUAACUAUGCACGUCUUGACGGUACCUAAUCAGAAAGCCACGGCUAACUACGUG
rnacentral:rRNA from 1 species